AUUUUGGACAAUGGGCGCAAGCCUGAUCCAGCCAUGCCGCCUGAUUGAAGAAGGCCUCCGGGCUGUAUAGCUCUUUCGGACGGAAAGAAAUCCCGCAGGCUAAUUCUCCGCGCGGAUGACGGUGCCGGCCAUAGAAACACCGGCUCACUACGUGCCCGUAGCCGCGGUAAUACGUAGGGUGCGAGCGUUAAUCGGAAUUACUGGGCGUAAAGCGUGCGCAGGCGGUUGAUUAAGACAGGCGUGAAAGCCCCGGGCUUAACCUGGGAACUGCGCUUGUGACUGGUCAGCGAGAGUACGGCAGAGGGGGGUGGAAUUCCACGUGUAGCAGUGAAAUGCGUAGAGAUGUGGAGGAACACCGAUGGCGAAGGCAGCCCCCUGGGCCGAUACUGACGCUCAUGCACGAAAGCGUGGGUAGCAAACAGG
rnacentral:rRNA from 1 species